rnacentral:misc_RNA from 1 species
UGCUGCGCGCCGGCGCCUCUCGUCUUCUCUCCAUGUGUCGGCGUGUGCAUGCGUGCGUACGACGUUGUUGGCGAGACACUGCCACUUCCAGUCGCAGGAAAGGAAUCGCAACUCGAGGCAGCCUCUCCCUUGAGUGAUUGACACGCACCUCUACCCACUGCCACACGCGCAUUGGUGGCCACGUCACCCGUCUACGUCUGCUUCGCCUCCUCUGCCCUCCGCCGCGCCUCGCAUGCAGGCGUUGCAAUCCUGUGAAAGGCUGCGCCACCGCUGAGACCAUUUCGUUUUUUUCUUUUGUUUGUUUUACUGGUUUCCACUGGUGCGUGUGGUUGGUGCGCUGGAGAGACAUGUAUUUUAGUGCUGUCAAAGAGACCGCCGCACUUUCUCGGUCACUCCUCCCCACCGCUCGCUUCUGCAUCGUUGGCUUCGGCGCUUAACGGGCCCUCCCCCGGCUUCCCCCACCGCCUCAGAAACUGUCCAUCUCCGCCUUUCAUCUGACAUGUUUCUUCUUCUUCACUUUUCGUCUUCUCUCGAGCUCCCGAUAG